rnacentral:tRNA from 1 species
GUGGGAGUAGCAAAGUGGUCAUGCAUCCGCCUGCAGAGCGGAUCACGGGAGUUCAAAUCUCCCCUCCCACU